GAACUGAGGGUAGCGGAGAAAUUCCAAUCGAACCUGGAGAUAGCUGGUUCUCUCCGAAAUAGCUUUAGGGCUAGCCUCAAGUGAUGAUUAUUGGAGGUAGAGCACUGUUUGGACGAGGGGCCCCUCUCGGGUUACCGAAUUCAGACAAACUCCGAAUGCCAAUUAAUUUAACUUGGGAGUCAGAACAUGGGUGAUAAGGUCCGUGUUCGAAAGGGAAACAGCCCAGACCACCAGCUAAGGUCCCAAAAUAUAUGUUAAGUGGAAAAGGAUGUGGCGUUGCCCAGACAACUAGGAUGUUGGCUUAGAAGCAGCCAU
rnacentral:rRNA from 1 species